rnacentral:rRNA from 1 species
CGCAGCCGCGGUAAUUCCAGCUCCAAUAGCGUAUAUUAAAGUUGUUGCAGUUAAAAAGCUCGUAGUUGAAUUUCGGGGUCAGUAGAUUGGUCAUGCCUCCGGUAUGCACUGGUCUUACUGGCUCCUCCUUCCUGAUGAACCGUAAUGCCAUUAAUUUGGUGUUGCGGGGAGACUGGACUGUUACUUUGAAAAAAUUGAGUGUUUAAAGCAGGCUAACGCUUGAAUACAUUAGCAUGGAAUAAUGAAAUAGGACGUUCGAUCUUAUUUGUUGGUUUCUAAGAUUGACGUAAUGAUUAAUAGGGAUAGUUGGGGGCAUUAGUAUUCAAUUGUCAGAGGUGAAAUUCUUGGAUUUAUUGAAGACUAACUACUGCGAAAGCAUUUGCCAAGGAUGUUUUCAUUAAUCAAGAACGAAAGUUAGGGAUCGAAGACGAUCAGAUACCGUCGUAGUCUUAACCAUAAACUAUGUACCGACUAGGGAUCGGAUGAUGUUAAUUUUUAUGUACUCAUUCGGCGCCUUAAC